GGCGCGGCGGCGGCGGCGGCGGCGGCGGCAGGGCGAGCGGCAGUGGCUGCAAUCGCAGCAGCAGUAGCAGCGGCAGCAGAGGCAGAAGCAGCGCGGGGCGCAGCGGCGGCCGCCGGCCCCCGGGCUCGCGCGCGUUGCCAAGCGGCCGUUUCCUUAGCAACCCCGCCCGGGGAUAGAGGAUGGAGCAGGGAGGGGGGAAAUGAAAGGGAAAAAAAAAAGAUUGAAAAGAAAAAGAAAAGAAAGAAAAUGAAAAAAAAAAUACGAGGAGGUUAUAUCGCAAUUGUGCAAACUGAGGAGGAAAGGAUGCACACAGACUGAAGGUUUCCCUCACUGUCGUAAGCGCUAGAGAGAUGCUUUGCUAGAAAAGUGUACCGGGGCUGGGUUGACGAGAGCGGAGGGGCGCUUUCCUUCCCCUCUUCGGUGCGUUUUUUCUCCUGAGGCACCGUAAGUUUUAAGUCUUCUAAGUUGUGGUCGGCGCCAUCAUGACGCCGAAGACUGGCUUUCAUAGUUUUGAUACCAGUGUUGAGAAUCAGGUUCACAUCCUGUUUCCCGGUGUUGAAGAUUGAACACCCAAGAAAUCCCAGGCAAGAGGAGAAAGUUUUAUUUAAAGGAUAGAACAAAGAGAGAGAGGUCCAGGAACCAAGGACUGGGUAAAAAAAAAAAUGGAGAUAAUGUUCAUUAUAAAACCUCCUGGAAUGGUUUUUCCAGAAGAGAUGAGUAUUUGAUCAGUAGAUGGCAUAAAAAUGAUUCAACUUUACCACUGUGGGUGGGUAUCAGCAAUCCAUGGAGGUCCUUCACACAAGAAAAAGGCAGAGUAAGGAAGGAUUUGCACUCUCUUUUCUUGAGCGUGGACACCAAUUUUCUUCUGCUCAGAGCAGCAAAGCUCCUGGUAUUGGACAUUCUGAUGAAGAAACAUACGGGUAACCUCGUACUCACCCACCAAACAGGUUCUGAAUAGGAGCCUCAGAAUAGGAGUUAGAUCAUUGGUCUUCCUGGCUCUCAGGCCUUCCCACAUCUGAAUUACAGCACUGGCUUUCCUGAUUCACCAUCUUAUAGAGAACAUGUCAUGGAACUUCUCAAUUUCCACAGUCAUGUGAAUUAAAUGCAUGAUUAGUCUCCUACCAGUUUAUUCAUCCAACCAUCUAUACAUCUGUCCAUCCUAUUGGUUCUGAUUCUUUUGGAGAUUUCUCAUUGAUAUUUAGGUAUUGGAUGAAAUCUUACAAAUCGUGAUACAAAAUUUUUGAUUUUGUUUUCAGCAUUAUGGUGAACUAGUCAUUUUGGGAAAUCCUUCAUAACAAGGAUACUCUAUUCUGAAUAAAACUGAUUUUAAUGUGAUCUAGAGCUUGUAAAAAAAUAAGGAAAAUUUUAAUUGCUAUUCUCCACAUACAUAACAAAUAGAGAACACUACAAAUGCUAAAUUCAUAUCUAGAGGCAAAAAUCUGUAUAGAAAUAAAAGGCAUAGGAUUAUCAAGAAUGGAAGUCCAAAGCAGUAUUAUUACUUUUGGUAUAAGAAUAAUAAAUUUUGGAUCACCAAUAAAAAGUCUUUAAAAAGGGGGUCCUAUUUAAGGUAAAGAUUUUGAGGGAUUAGAAUUAAGCACAAAAAUAUUUCUUGAAGAAUUCUUCUCCAGUUUAGUCCUGGAGGAUGUUCAGAAUUUUGAUACUAUAAUAGUAAUUUUACAACAUUGCAAUCAAGUAUCAGUAAGUACCGAAAGAACAAAUCACCAUGUGCAGAAAUCCAAAGAAAGGCCAUAGAAUGUCUAAUUCCUCAGUUUUUAUUAUUGGCAAUGCAAUAUAUCUAAGAAUAAAAAAUAGUGCCUAAAGAAAAUAGUACUGUAUUGUAUUAUGAAAGGUUUUG